rnacentral:rRNA from 1 species
GACGAACGCUGGCGGCGUGCUUAACACAUGCAAGUCGAACGAAGAGCGACGGAAGCUUGCUUCUAUCAAUCUUAGUGGCGAACGGGUGAGUAACGCGUAAUCAACCUGCCCUUCAGAGGGGGACAACAGUUGGAAACGACUGCUAAUACCGCAUACGAUCUAAUCUCGGCAUCGAGGAUGGAUGAAAGGUGGCCUCUACAUGUAAGCUAUCACUGAAGGAGGGGAUUGCGUCUGAUUAGCUAGUUGGAGGGGUAACGGCCCACCAAGGCGAUGAUCAGUAGCCGGUCUGAGAGGAUGAACGGCCACAUUGGGACUGAGACACGGCCCAGACUCCUACGGGAGGCAGCAGUGGGGAAUCUUCCGCAAUGGACGAAAGACUGACGGAGCAACGCCGCGUGAGUGAUGACGGCCUUCGGGUUGUAAAGCUCUGUUAAUCGGGACGAAAGGCCUUCUUGCGAAUAGUGAGAAGGAUUGACGGUACCGGAAGAGAAAGCCACGGCUAACUACGUG